GGGAGUUGGAAGCUGGUGCUGGGAAUUGCCAAUUCUAUUCCUUCAGCUCCAACAUCGCCUCUCAUAGUGACCUCGCUGCCAAUUUGACCUUGUACUAUCACCUUCUGUGCUUGGCUAGUUAAGUAAUUUGAUGAAAGCUCCGUCGCGUUUUCUUUUUCUUGAGAAUGAUCACUUGGCAUAAAUGCAUCUUCAAGAAGAAAAUCACGCCAACUAAAGCUUGGUGUGGAUUUUUCCCGGUUUGCAGUUGAGCAAGUUGAAGAAGAAGAGGAUGAUGAUGAUGACAAUGAGCCUUCUUUAAGGAACUGAUCUGAGAUGAUCUCAUAGUUGGAGCAACUCGAGGCUUCCGUCACCAGUUUUAUAGCUUGAAGUUGAUCAAGAAGAUCCAAUGAGUGGUUGCUAUUACUGAUAGUGUUUUUACUGUUCAAGAAACAUUCUUGGAUUGGUUCCACUUUAGGGGGCACCAAAUGGUUGCUGAUGGUUGCAAUAAUUCCUUCUGGUUGGUAUGGACAUCGCUCUGCAGGUUUGGAGAUAAAA
rnacentral:misc_RNA from 1 species